UACAGAGGGGGCGAGCGUUGUUCGGAAUUACUGGGCGUAAAGGGCGCGUAGGCGGCCCGCUAAGUCGCACGUGAAAUCCCCAGGCUCAACCUGGGAACUGCGUCCGAUACUGGCAGUCUUGAAUCCGGGAGAGGGAUGUGGAAUUCCAGGUGUAGCGGUGAAAUGCGUAGAUAUCAGGAAGAACACCCGUGGCGAAAGCGGCUCUCUGGAACGGUACUGACGCUGAGACGCGAAAGCGUGGGGAGCGAACAGG
rnacentral:rRNA from 1 species